UCGAAUGCUCAGUACGGCGAGUGACCAGCAUAGCUCAAAUUUGAAUCUGGCGUCUUCGACGUCCUAUUUGUACUUUGUAUAGGAUGCUUCUGAGUCCCGCCGACCUACUUUCCUUGGAACAGGACGUCAUAGAGGGUGAGAAUCCCGUAUGCGGUCGGAAAGGUGCUCUAUACGUUUCUCCUUCAACGAGUCGAGUUGUUUGGGAAUGCAGCUCUAAAUGGGAGGUAAAUUUCUUCUAAAGCUAAAUAUUGGCCAGAGACCGAUAGCGCACAAGUAGAGUGAUCGAUAGAUGAAAAGCACUUUGGAAAGAGAGUUAAAAAGCACGUGAAAUUGUUAAAAGGGAAGGGAUUGCAACCGCACUUGCUCGCGGUGUUCCGCCGGUCUUCUGACCGGACUACUCGCCGCGAUGCAGGCCGACAUCGUCUGGUGCCGCUGGAUAAGAGUUGAGGAAUGUAGCUCCCUCGGCAGUGUUAUAGCCUCUUGUGAUGCAGCGAGCGCCGGGCGAGGUCCGCGCUUCUGUAGGAUGCUGGCGUAAUGGUCGAAUCCGCCCCCUUGAACCCGGAUACCGUUUUGUACUCGGAUA
rnacentral:rRNA from 1 species